rnacentral:rRNA from 1 species
CCUCAAAUCAGAUGGGACUACCCGCUGAACUUAAGCAUAUCAAUAAGCGGAGGAAAAGAAACUAACAAGGAUUCCCCUAGUAACUGCGAGUGAAGCGGGAAAAGCUCAAAUUUGAAAUCUGGCUGCUUUGCAGUCCGAGUUGUAAUUUCGAGAAGUGUUACCCGUGCUGGACCGUGCAUAAGUCUUCUGGAAAGGAGCAUCAUAGAGGGUGAAAAUCCCGUCUUUGGUACGGACUCCCAGUGCAUUGUGGUAUGCUCCCAACGAGUCGAGUUGUUUGGGAAUGCAGCUCAAAAUGGGUGGUAAAUUCCAUCUAAAGCUAAAUAUUGGUGUGAGACCGAUAGCGAACAAGUACCGUGAGGGAAAGAUGAAAAGAACUUUGGAAAGAGAGUUAAACAGUACGUGAAAUUGUCAAUAGGGAAACGCUUGAAGUCAGUCGCGUUGCUCUGGGAUCAGCCUUCCUUUUGGUUGGUGUACUUCCUGAGUGACGGGUCAGCAUCAGUUUUGACUGCUGGAAAAAGGCUUAGGGAAUGUGGCUCUUUCGGGAGUGUUAUAGCCCUUUGUCAUAUACAGUAGUUGGGACUGAGGAACUCAGCACGCCGCAAGGCAGGUCUUCGAACACUUUCGUGCUUAGGAUGCUGGCAUAAU